GGCGGGACUUCCUGUGUCGUAUUUCCAAGGACUCCAAAGCGAGGCCGGGGACUGAAGUGAACAGCAGAGAAUUUCAAAGGACCUUGCUAAUAUCUGUAAGACGGCAGCUACAGCAGGCAUCAUUGGCUGGGUGUAUGGGGGAAUACCAGCUUUUAUUCAUGCUAAACAACAAUACAUUGAGCAGAGCCAGGCAGAAAUUUAUCAUAACCGGUUUGAUGCUGUGCAAUCUGCACAUCGUGCUGCCACACGAGGCUUCAUUCGUUAUGGCUGGCGCUGGGGUUGGAGAACUGCAGUGUUUGUGACUAUAUUCAACACAGUGAACACUAGUCUGAAUGUAUACCGAAAUAAAGAUGCCUUAAGCCAUUUUGUAAUUGCAGGAGCUGUCACGGGAAGUCUUUUUAGGAUAAACGUAGGCCUGCGUGGCCUGGUGGCUGGUGGCAUAAUUGGAGCCUUGCUGGGCACUCCUGUAGGAGGCCUGCUGAUGGCAUUUCAGAAGUACUCUGGUGAGACUGUUCAGGAAAGAAAACAGAAGGAUCGAAAGGCACUCCAUGAGCUAAAACUGGAAGAGUG
rnacentral:lncRNA from 1 species